rnacentral:tRNA from 2 species
GGCGGUGUAGCUCAGACGGCAGAGCAGGGGUCUCAUAAGCCCUUUGUCGCAGGUUCGAGUCCUGCCACCGCCACCA